CCUACGGGUGGCAGCAGUGAGGAAUAUUGGUCAAUGGACGAGAGUCUGAACCAGCCAAGUAGCGUGAAGGAUGACUGCCCUAUGGGUUGUAAACUUCUUUUAUAUGGGAAUAAAAUGUUCCACGUGUGGGAUUUUGUAUGUACCAUAUGAAUAAGGAUCGGCUAACUCCGUGCCAGCAGCCGCGGUAAUACGGAGGAUCCGAGCGUUAUCCGGAUUUAUUGGGUUUAAAGGGAGCGUAGGUGGAUUGUUAAGUCAGUUGUGAAAGUUUGCGGCUCAACCGUAAAAUUGCAGUUGAAACUGGCAGUCUUGAGUACAGUAGAGGGGGGUGGAAUUCGUGGUGUAGCGGUGAAAUGCUUAGAUAUCACGAAGAACUCCGAUUGCGAAGGCAGUUCACUGGACUGCAACUGACACUGAGGCUCGAAAGUGUGGGUAUCAAACAGGAUUAGAUACCCCAGUAGUC
rnacentral:rRNA from 1 species